ACCAGGGCUUCGGCCCUGGGGACAGCGGCGAACGGGUGAGUAACACGUGAGUAAUCUGCCCUCGGCACCGGGAUAGCCCGGGGAAACCCGGAUUAAUACCGGAUAGCCUCCGAAGCCUUCGGGCGUCGGAGCAAAGGUAGCUUUGGCCUCUGGCCGAGGAUGAGCUCGCGGCGGAUUAGCUUGUUGGUGGGGUAAUGGCCCACCAAGGCGACGAUCCGUAGCUGGUCUGAGAGGACGAUCAGCCACACUGGGACUGAGACACGGCCCAGACUCCUACGGGAGGCAGCAGUGGGGAAUCUUGCGCAAUGGGCGAAAGCCUGACGCAGCGACGCCGCGUGCGGGAAGAAGGCCUUCGGG
rnacentral:rRNA from 1 species